rnacentral:lncRNA from 1 species
GGAAAUACACUAAUAUAUAGUUUUAACCUCCCUUGUAGGAUUUCUCUUCCUAUUUGUCUGAUGGUCUUCAUCUGUCAACAAAAGGCAACAGCUUUGUAGCAGCUCAGCUUUGGUCACGCCUGGAAAACAAACUGUCUGCUCUUCCUUCUCUGCUUCCUUAUUGGCGUGAUGUGGACCACACGAACCCCGAGGCCAGUCUUCUGUGACAUCCCUGCAGGGAGGAGCCGGGGCAGCCACCCAGACAGAGCCAGCCCAUUAUCCAGCAGCAUGCUGCAAACUGUGUCCUCAGGGAACAUGGCACUGGGCAGUCCCCAGCAGUGCUCUUCUCUGUCCCCUUCUCUUGGUCUGUCAGAGAAUAAAGGCACAGGUUUCAGACCAGUGCACGUUUUUGGGCAUGGUGAUACACGAGCUUGGAGAAGCUACUAGAAGAGAUCUGCAUCUCUGCUGAUAAAGCUAUACCGUAAGUCAUUUGCCAUGAAGUUAAGAAGACCUUUCAAAUGAGUUGUUAAAAUAAUUUUAUAACUCAUGUAAGUACUGCAGACUAUGCAGGUUUUGGCCAAGAGAACACAAACUACAAAACUGCCUUUACAAACCAAAAAAAGCACUGCCUGCAACCUAGAUGAAAUGCAACAAGUAUGGAAAAAAUAGUUUGGGAAAUGAUUGUCUAGCAAGGCAGAUAGCAGCAAAAAUGAGGAUACAACUAACCAAGCAUAAAAACCAAAUAGCGUUAUCACUGCAGAUAUAAGCCAUCCAUAAUUCUGGGCUGUAUUAACAAUUAUGUUGAUAUGGAACAGGUGUGUUUAUUAUGUAGGGGGUGAGAGACUAAUGGGAGGCUCUCAUGCUGUCCUGCACUGUUAGUCCCAGACUGCCUUUGCUUCUUGAAAUAAUUAAGGAAUCUACUUACUGUCAUCUACUGUGUAACAGUGUUAUAAACUGGAGCCUACAUCGUUAUUUUUCUGUUAUUUUCUGUGCCUGGAGCCAGAGCAGAAGUGAGUUUGAUGUAUAAAUAUUUAUGAGUAUUAAACUGGACUAUCCUUUCUGUAAUAAAUGCUUACAGUAAAGACUGGCUGAACA